AUCCCAUCAGCAACCAGACUCAACAUCUGGACAUCACUCAACUCUGUCACACAUGUGCAGAACACACUCCACUUUACACAGUGCUGAUCUCUGUUGGAUCUCUGCUGAUUGUGGCUGUAAUUUGGAUGUUUUGGAUCUGCAGGAAACGCAGAGAUGCAGGUCAGACCCGUAAAGACGAGACAAAUGUAACACUCAACAAAUACACUAGACAAAGGACGGUAAGUGUCUCUUACUCCUUU